UGGAAUUUUGGUGCCGUUCCCCUGUAUAGCACUUUGAUUGCUUGGAGAAAAAAACAUUCCAUAAAUCUAAUCUAUUAUUACCAUCUUAAUGUUCCUUGGGUCAACAAAGUCCUUUGAGAGGAUCCAUUCUAACGGGCACUGCUAAGUGCGAAUGCAUGGUUCAUUGUAGGCUACAAAGGAGGUCCAUGACACUUCUGAUACCCUCAGCCCUUUAUGGGCUCCUGUGCCAGGCUAGGGCCAAGACAAAUAUAGCCCACAGCCAUAUAGGGGGGUCAGGUACGGCCAUGCAAGGCCAACGCUCUCAUUCAGUGACUCACACACCAGACAGGCAGGCAGGCAGGAAGGCAGGCAGGCCGCAUGAACAGGAUAUUACAUAAUAACCAGUGGAACAGAAACACAGUAUCAGACCUGAACUGACGCUACAAACUAAGGCUAAACUGUACAAACCAAGGCUAAACUGCAGCUUACACUUGAACAAAAUAAGGAUGGUAGCAAAUGACUUUAAGGGAACAGGACAAUGGGGACAGUCAGGGUGACAGCGGUCAGGACAGCCAGACGGACCAGCAGGAGCAUGGUGUCAAACUUAUACACCUUGGUGAAGGUGUGGAGCAACUCCGCCUCCACGUUUCCUGUGUUUGGGAGAAAGAAGGAAUAAGAGCUGUCAGAGACAUACCAAGAGAGAGAUAUGAAAGUGAGGUAGCCGAACAGUGCUGAGAACAUGUACAUGACCAGCAUGGCCAGGAUGGACAGGUUGGACACGUUCUGCAUCUUUCUCCGGGAGCGACUGGGGAAGACGCAAGUUGAGAUUCAUUAGCAGCAAGUGAACGGAGUACAACGACAAGAUGGCCACACCCAAGAGAAGGACUCUACGUUGGGAUAGAAACCAGUCAGACAUUAGCAUUGGGCUAUACCAUACGGAAAUCUUACACAAAUCACAAUGAACAACACUUGGAGGGGAAUCAACCGGGUUACAAAACACCCUACAUAAUAACUUUCACUAGUUUCCCCCCCCUAGUCACUCUCACUCUGUUUUCCCCAUUACCUAUUUAGGGAGGUAAACUUAGCUUUAGAACUGCAGUCGUAUUUAACUUGAGGGGGGGAGGGGUCCGGAUGCUUUCUCUGGCAUGCAUUUAUUGCCUAUUUGAGAAGACCAUGUUCCAAUGCCUAAAGCACAUGUCAAAGACACUAUCAUGCCAUGUCAAUAUAUGUGCCAGCUCAGACAAAAUAGUGGUAGAUUAAUGCGUGUCAGUGCUUAGAGACCAGACUAAACUCUGAGCUAUUAUAUAAGUCAAUAAAGUAACUUGGGAGUUAUGUAUGGGAUGUAUGGGUUUCCCGCUUCGGCUGAACAUGAUCAGCCUUAAAUCCUCACACUUAGAGGUCACAAGGGGCCUUCGUCAUCAAGGAGCCUCUAACCCAAUCAUCCAGCAUCCAAUGGGCUCCAACGUAUUAAACAAACUGUUUAGUUACAUAUGUUGUUUUUGAAUUGAGAGUUGCACCUCUACCCCUCACUGUACUAUUGUUGGCCAGAGACAGGCAAGUGACUGUAUCAAAUGGGUGUUAUGUGAUACCACCUUCCAGAAUGUCAUGGAGUCCCAGAAUAGAUGGUGGGGAAGUAAGAUGUCGCAACUGAUGAGGGGGACUGAUGUUAGGGGACUCCCUGUUAAACUCUUUAUAAUCAUCACGUAAGUAGGUUCCUAAUCUACUUCCUUGUCUCCUGUUCUUCAAUCACUUUCAGGGAUAUAUUUUUGCUUAGUGAGAGUACUCAGUCACCAAAUUCUUUCUUGGUAAAGCCCAGCCAUAUACAGUAGAAACAGGACUGAAAUAAAGCAUCACCAUCCUGUUUUGGA